AGAAGAAAUCAUUAUCCCCUAGAGCAGCCUUUCCCUCCCAGGGCUGCAGGCACCAGGCAAUCUUCUCCUAGAGGCUUUGUCUGAUUGCUUGUCACCCCAACACCUAGGGGUUAAGGAAGCAUACAUCACACCACCUUGCGAUGAGAGAGAGACUCCUUUGAAUAAAGGACCUAAAUGCGACCAGGGUGUGACUUUCCCCGAGGAGCAAUCCUAGAAGUUCUAAGGAACCCAGAUGGGGUUCAAAGGGUAAAUCCACAAGAGCAGCCAGCGCCUGUGGCUCCAGCAAUUUUGUGGGGAUGACUCAUCAAUCAGGCCAAUGGCCAACAGCAACACAGGACCAGAACUGCCCGUCACUCAGCAGAGAACAGACAAAGGACCAGGGACUCCAGCUUAUGACUGCAGAACCUGGUAUCUGAUCACAUGGAAACACAAGAAAGAGAUUUUUUAAAUGUUUUAUAAUUAAACCUGUUACACCCUCUCAUGAAAAGGCUGUGAUUUGUUACGCUGGGGCAGCAGGUCACUCUCUGGUGAUUUGGUACAUGUGAUAUAGGACCAGUCAAAUUUGGAUUCAGGGUUUUCUAAACACCAUGCUCUUCCUGGGACAGGGUUCACUGUGGCUAAGGCAACUCCUGGGGACUGAUGGACAGAGGGGCUGAGCAGGCAGAGGAGCUCUGAGAAAGUUCUGUGCUCUCUAGCGACCCCUUCUGGCCACCUUGGAGGCUCUCUUCUCUGCACCAAGGGAAACACCUGUGAAAAUAAUCAGGGCUGGGCAGGUAGGUGGACCCUUGAGGAAAAUCCCCAUUACCUCAGAUCACAUGUUGCCCACGUCAUCUGGGAUGUGGGUAAAAGCAGGCCGGAGGAAGGCCCCUGCACAAGCAUUGCCCUCAAUGCCACUGUUUCCUUGGGUAGCCCUAAUACUAACCUGCCCUAUUUAGUAACCAUGGAAACAGAAGCUGCCUGCUAGCCAUAUUUCACAGACACAUGCUUCCUAUAGGCAACAGUCCUUGGGCUGAGAGGGUCUGAAAGCGAGUACGGAGUCCCUUUCCCAAAGUGCCCCAGUCCCUACUAGAAGAUCAGGUUACCAGUGAGGUAGACAUGCUUUCUGAUGUGGCACGAGGGGAGAGGUCUGUGAGAAAGAUGUGCCUACCAGGUAUCUGCUUUUCCCUGUUUCAGGGCAGUCAGGAAAACAGGGCUGCCCACGCCCCCUGUUUCCCUUCCCAAAGCCAGCCCAGAAUUAAAGCAUUGAACUCUACAUGCACUGAGGUGUUCUUGGUCAUUGUCAAGUAUUAGAGGGCACUACUCCAAGGCUGCAAGGCCUGGCUCGUCCUUGCCCACAGAGACUCACUUGGAAGGUCAGUCAAAGG